rnacentral:rRNA from 1 species
CCUACGGGAGGCAGCAGUAAGGAAUAUUGGUCAAUGGACGGAAGUCUGAACCAGCCAUCCCGCGUGCAGGAUGACUGCCCUAUGGGUUGUAAACUGCUUUUAGCAGAGACGAAACGCCUUCAUUUAUGAGGGUCUGACGGUAUCUGCAGAAUAAGCACCGGCUAACUCCGUGCCAGCAGCCGCGGUAAUACGGAGGGUGCAAGCGUUAUCCGGAAUCACUGGGUUUAAAGGGUGCGUAGGCGGAUAUUUAAGUCAGUGGUGAAAUCUUGUCGCUUAACGAUAAAAUUGCCAUCGAUACUGAAUGUCUUGAAUUGGGUUGAGGUUAGCGGAAUGUGACAUGUAGCGGUGAAAUGCAUAGAUAUGUCAUGGAACACCAAUUGCGAAGGCAGCUAGCUGGGCCUUGAUUGACGCUGAGGCACGAAAGCGUGGGUAGCGAACAGGAUUAGAUACCCUGGUAGUCCACGCCCUAAACGAUGCUAACUCGAUGUUUGGACGUAAGUUUGAGCAUCCAAGGGAAACCGAUAAGUUAGCCACCUGGGGAGUACGACCGCAAGGUUGAAACUCAAAUGAAUUGACGG